rnacentral:rRNA from 1 species
CCUACGGGGAGCAGCAGUGGGGAAUAUUGGACAAUGGGCGAAAGCCUGAUCCAGCCAUGCCGCGUGUGUGAAGAAGGCCUUCGGGUUGUAAAGCACUUUCAGUGGGGAAGAAAGCCUUGGGGCUAAUACCCUCGAGGAAGGACAUCACCCACAGAAGAAGCACCGGCUAACUCCGUGCCAGCAGCCGCGGUAAUACGGAGGGUGCGAGCGUUAAUCGGAAUUACUGGGCGUAAAGCGCGCGUAGGCGGUCUGAUAAGCCGGUUGUGAAAGCCCCGGGCUCAACCUGGGAACGGCGUCCGGAACUGUCAGGCUAGAGUGCAGGAGAGGAAGGUAGAAUUCCCGGUGUAGCGGUGAAAUGCGUAGAGAUCGGGAGGAAUACCAGUGGCGAAGGCGGCCUUCUGGACUGACACUGACGCUGAGGUGCGAAAGCGUGGGUAGCAAACAGGAUUAGAUACCCCUGUAGUC